GAGUCGGACCUGCCCGGUGAAUAUAUUUUAACGGCCGCGGUACUCUGACCGUGCAAAGGUAGCAUAAUCAUUUGCCUUAUAAUUGAAGGCUAGUAUGAAUGGUUUGACGUGAACAAAGCUGUCUCUAUAUAAUUUUUUAGAACUUGAUUUCUAGGUGAAGAAACCUAGAUAGUAUUGAAAGACAAGAAGACCCUAUUGAGCUUUAAAAAAAUAAAUUGAAGAAAUAUAUAAUUUUAGAUAUUGAUCUAUUUUAAAUUUUGGUUGGGGCGACUAUAGAACAAACAAAGCUUCUUUAUAUUAAUAAAACUAACAAGUGUUGAUCCAAAAAUUUUGAUUAAUGAAAUUAGUUACCAUAGGGAUAACAGCAUAAUCCUCUUUGAGAGCUCUUAUCGAAAAGAGGGUUUGUGACCUCGAUGUUGGAUUAGAAUAUCCUGAAGAUGCAGCAGUCUUUAAGGGUUGGUC
rnacentral:rRNA from 1 species